GGAACCCGGGGCUCCUAAUGCGGUUCCAAUUGCUUCCCAGGCGGGGCCGCCCUAGAGAAAGGGCGCCCUAUCCCCUCCCCCAGCCCCUCCACGCCCUUCCAAGCACUCAAGCCGCGGAGUCCCAGAUCACCCUGGGAUUCUCCAAACCUGGUGGUUCUGUCCCAAGCCGAGGACCACGCUCACGUGCGCAUGGAGACAUCCCCGGGAACUCAAGGCCGCAGUCUUGGAAACGCAGGCUUCCGCAACUGGCGCGUUAGAGAACGUUUCUUCUUCUUGUGGCCCUCAGAGAAGCAAAUGAGCACAAGAACCUCAACACUGAAUCGCCUUCUGCGGAUCCAGAGAUCUUUCUACUGUAAUCAGAACCCCAGAAGGCCAGGACCGCAGGGGACCUGCUGCCUUAACCCAGGGAGGGUCACGCGAGGGAAGGAUUCCUGGCCCCUCAGAACACCUACCAAGGGAAAUUCAACCGCUGAUCUCCUCCCCAUCCAGCCCCUUCCCACUCACGACCCCCAUCCCUGCUCCAGACGUAAAAAACCAGGUGGUGGGCCGGGGUGGGAGGGGUGGGGACCGGAAUGGAAAGAAGCGGCUGAGGACGCCAGCUGCGGGGCUCCAGAAGGCACCGCCCCAUGCCCCCAAACUCCCAAGUCACUCACUGUACCUCCCUAGGCCAGGGAGUCUGGGAACUUUGUAAUUCUGUAGCUUGUGGUUCCCCCCGCCAACCCCUCCAUCACCCGAGAGAACAGUAGAGAAAACCCCCACGGGGACCCGUUUUUGAGGUUAGCGCCUGCACAGCCUCUGCUCCCAAACCCGAAUGCUGCCGGGAGGAAAGUGAACCCAGCCCUGCCCAGCCCCGGAGAGAGGAACCUCAGCUCGGCGCCCACCGAACUCCAGCAGUCCCAGCAGGCGCACGGAGAAGGCGCUUUCACCCCAGUCAAGCCCCACGGGGUGAGGGGAGGAGAGUGUAAUAUUUUUGUCCAGAUUUGCGCCCUGGAAGGACGUAGCCUUUAGUGCGGCUUCUAAGAGCCAGGACUUCAGAGCCGGAAGACUCCUGCUCCCACCUGCAUGACCAUGGGUCGGUUACUGAACCCCGCUAUACCUCAGUUUCCUCCUCUGUAAAAUGGGGAUAAUCAUACCUACCUCAUAGGCGUGUACCUUGUAUCAAUGAGACAGUUCGGGUAAAGCUCUUUCGGACAACAUGCCACUUGCCUCCUGCUAGGUGUUAUUAAUUUAAUUUCCUCAGGUGAAUCUCACCGAAUUCUUCAAAAUAACCUUAAGAACCUCACUCCGUUAAUACUUUGGGGGCAGUUAUUCUUUAUGGUAAAAUGUUUUAAAUUCCUCUUGCUACAGGCUACUACCCAGCGCUCCACCAUCCUCACUGGCCUUCUCAAAGGAUGCGCUAGAUAAGCUCCUCGAGUUAAAUAGCCAGGUGGCUCAACAAUGACUGCGCCACCCCCAGGCUCUGCUCCACCCCACCCCGCUUCAGAGCCCAGACCAGCUCGCUGGCUUUUGCUUUCUGCAGACCCCUAACUGGAGUCUUCAGGUUCUCCCUGCAAGUGAUUCCUCUCUAUCUUCCUUGACAGUGUGUCUUCCUCACCACUGCCCAGCCAUUUAUCUUAAAUUUAUCUCCCAACGUUAAAAAAAGAUAAUAAAGUUGUUGUAAAUAAUGAAGCA
rnacentral:lncRNA from 13 species